rnacentral:rRNA from 1 species
UACGAAGGGGGCUAGCGUUGCUCGGAAUCACUGGGCGUAAAGCGCACGUAGGCGGACUCUUAAGUCAGGGGUGAAAUCCUGGAGCUCAACUCCAGAACUGCCUUUGAUACUGGGAGCCUUGAGUUCGGGAGAGGUGAGUGGAACUGCGAGUGUAGAGGUGAAAUUCGUAGAUAUUCGGAAGAACACCAGUGGCGAAGGCGACUCGCUGGACAGGUAUUGACGCUGAGGUGCGAAAGCGUGGGGAGCAAACAGGG